CCUAGCUGUGUUGGCUUUCUAACCCGCACCACUUAUCGUGGUGGGAGACAGUGUCAGGCGGGCAGUUUGACUGGGGCGGUCGCCCCCUAAAAGGUAACGGAGGCGCUCAAAGGUUCCCUCAGAAUGGGUGGAAAUCAUUCAUAGAGGGUAAAGGCAUAAGGGAGCUUGACUGCGAGACCUACAAGUCGAGCAGGGUCGAAAGACGGACUUAGUGAUCCGGUGGUUCCGCAUGGAAGGGCCAUCGCUCAACGGAUA
rnacentral:rRNA from 1 species